CUACGGGUGGCUGCAGUCACGAAUCUUCCUCAAUGGGCGAAAGCCUGAAGGAGCGACGCCGCGUGCAGGAUGAAGGUCUUCGGAUUGUAAACUGCUUUUGCAAGGGACGAAUUUUGACGGUACCUUGCGAAUAAGAGGUUGCUAACUCUGUGCCAGCAGCAGCGGUAAGACAGAGACCUCGAGCGUUAUCCGGAUUUAUUGGGCGUAAAGCGUCCGUCGGUGGUCUGUUAAGUCAUCGGUAAAAUCUCUCCGCUCAACGGAGAGCCGGCCGGUGAAACUAUCGGAAUUGAGGGUGGGAGAGGUGAGCGGAAUUGCCGGUGUAGUAGUAAAAUGCGUUGAUAUCGGCAAGAACACCAGAGGCGAAAGCGGCUCACUGGAACACUCCUGACACUUAGGGACGAAAGCGUGGGUAGCGAUACGGAUUAGAUACCCGUGUAGUC
rnacentral:rRNA from 1 species